GACUCUCGGCAACGGAUAUCUCGGCUCUCGCAUCGAUGAAGACCGUAGCGAAAUGCGAUACCUGGUGUGAAUUGCAGAAUCCCGCGAACCAUCGAGUCUUUGAACGCAAGUUGCGCCCGAGGCCACUUGGCUGAGGGCACGCCUGCCUGGGCGUCA
rnacentral:rRNA from 16 species